GAUGAACGCUGGCUACAGGCUUAACACAUGCAAGUCGAGGGGAAACGACGGGGAAGCUUGCUUCCCCGGGCGUCGACCGGCGCACGGGUGAGUAACGCGUAUCCAACCUGCCUCUGACUGAGGGAUAACCCGUCGAAAGUCGGCCUAAUACCUCAUGGCAUCGUCUGCGGGCAUCCAACGACGAUUAAAGAUUUCAUCGGUCAGGGAUGGGGAUGCGUCUGAUUAGCUUGUUGGCGGGGUAACGGCCCACCAAGGCUACGAUCAGUAGGGGUUCUGAGAGGAAGGUCCCCCACAUUGGAACUGAGACACGGUCCAAACUCCUACGGGAGGCAGCAGUGAGGAAUAUUGGUCAAUGGGCGGGAGCCUGAACCAGCCAAGUAGCGUGCAGGAUGACGGCCCUAUGGGUUGUAAACUGCUUUUAGGCGGGGAUAAAGUGAGGGACGUGUCCGUCAUUGCAGGUACCGCAUGAAUAAGGACCGGCUAAUUCCGUG
rnacentral:rRNA from 1 species